rnacentral:RNase_P_RNA from 1 species
GAACGGACAGCCGCGUGGCUUCAUCGAAAGGUGCUGCCAUGAGGAAAGUCCGGGCUCCACAGGGCAAGAAUAACGGGUAACGCCCGCCGAAGGCGACUUCAGGAAAAGUGCAACAGAAAUAUACCGCCUUGCUUUUUGCAGGGUAAGGAUGGAAAGGCGAGGUAAGAGCUCACCCAUCACACGGGAACGUCGUGAUGCUGUAAACUCUAUUCGGAGCAACACCGUGGAGGAGACACAGGUCUGCCCGACCGUCUCCGGGGAGGUGGCUUGAGCGCAUCGGUAACGGUGCGUCGAGAUAGAUGGCUGUCGAUUACAGAACCCGGCUUAUAGUUCCGAUCG